rnacentral:rRNA from 1 species
AACGAACGCUGGCGGCAGGCUUAACACAUGCAAGUCGGGCGCCCCGCAAGGGGAGCGGCAGACGGGUGAGUAACGCGUGGGAACGUACCCUUUGCUACGGAAUAGCUCCGGGAAACUGGAAUUAAUACCGUAUGUGCCCUACGGGGGAAAGAUUUAUCGGCAAAGGAUCGGCCCGCGUUGGAUUAGCUAGUUGGUGGGGUAAUGGCCUACCAAGGCGACGAUCCAUAGCUGGUCUGAGAGGAUGAUCAGCCACAUUGGGACUGAGACACGGCCCAAACUCCUACGGGAGGCAGCAGUGGGGAAUAUUGGACAAUGGGCGCAAGCCUGAUCCAGCCAUGCCGCGUGAGUGAUGAAGGCCUUAAGGUUGUAAAGCUCUUUCACCGGAGAAGAUAAUGACGGUAUCCGGAGAAGAAGCCCCGGCUAACUUCGUGCCAGCAGCCGCCGUAAAAC